GACAGAGGGUGCAAACGUUGUUCGGAAUUACUGGGCGUAAAGCGCGUGUAGGCGGCCCGGAAAGUCGGAUGUGAAAGCCCUGGGCUUAACCUAGGAAGUGCAUUCGAAACUCCCGUGGCUUGAGUUCUGGAGAGGGAAGCGGAAUUCUCGGUGUAGAGGUGAAAUUCGUAGAUAUCUGGAGGAAUACCGGUGGCGAAGGCGGCAUCCUGGACCGACAUUGACGCUGAGGAGCGAAAGCCAGGGGAGCAAACGGG
rnacentral:rRNA from 1 species